CUGCAGUGUGUGGUAACAUUAUUCAAUACUGAUUGCAUGUGCAUAGUGUCGUAUUUUGCAACAUGAUUUUUGUUAUGUCGUCAAACACCGCCAUGCAAUAAUUGUGUGAGUUGACUGGAUUUAGGGACGUCGAACGACCAGCAGUGAGUGAACGCCCUUCACUGUUAACUACAGUAUAACUAUGGAGGCUAUACUCUAGAGCGCCUUAAAUUGUGUUUGAGAGAAUGUUUUAACUCAAAAUGGUAAAGGGAUACUUAGGGAUUUUGACAAUGAAGCCCCUUUAUCUACUACCCGAGUCAGAUGAACCCGCGUAUACAACAAUGUUUAUGUGUCUGCGUAUAGCAGGAACUACUAUGGGUAGCUGCAGCCCAAUAUGGCGAUCGAGUAUGUUCGUGAAUAGUUACCGUGUAGUUAUAGUUACUAGUGCCGAUCUUAUAUGUAUCAUAAAAUGUGAUUGUACACAACCUUAACCACACUGCUAACUUUAUGCCUAACCUUAAAUAAAACUGUUGUUUCUUAUAUUGAUUUUGUGGCUGUGGAAACCCCGGAGUAUAAACUAAGAUUUAAAAUUUUAAAAAAAUAUCUGUGGAAUAUGCGCCAUUUUGAAAGGAAAGCGAGCGGGGCUGAGGUGGGAAACCCCCGAAUAUCGCCAGUGUAAACAACAAUGCCGUGGACCUCUUUCCGGCUACAAUUUUUUUAUAUAUUUUUUUAUUUGUAAUUUUUAUUAACAACAAAUCAAUACAGAAAGUACAUGAGGGAAUUUCCGGCUACAAUUUAUAUCGAUAAAUGGGGAGAUGAAGACGCCAGUCACACUGUCCAAGUCAGUCCAAAUAAAAGGUUACAGUAACUGGAUCGAGGGUUACAUUCACGAUGUACAAGGUGGAGUUCUCUGAAAGUCCAUCAUUGAGACUAAAUGCAAUGCACAGCUGGCCAGGGACAGUGCAACCAUGCCAUCGGUUUACUGUAAACCAUAGCUCAUUACAUUAAAAUGGGCUACACAUCCUUGCCUCAAACAUGGCACAUUCCCCCGUGUACGUCAACCCUGAAGUCAAAACCUGUAAAUACAGUUCAAUUAUGAAAAGUAAAGCCAUUGAGGAAAGAAAUGCACCUGCCAACUUGAGGGGAUUGUGCUAAAUAUGUAUUGUCCAGUCUCUACACCAUUGCCCAGUGUGGUCGAUUGUUUGGUCGAUAGGCUGUUGCUCGACCAAGAUUUCUUUAGUCGAACAGUAGCAAAAAUAUUUUCUUUAUUAUGGUGUACAAGACACCUGUCUGAUUCACGCUUGUCUGAGUGGACUAAUCCAUUGUGGAGGCCGUGGGGAUGGCACAGUCCAUCACUCUAAGACAUCUGCUACUGAAAUUGUACAUGGUUACAUUACCUAAGAACAAUGGUGCAAUGCUAAUAAAAAUAAUGUUACUUUAUAACAAAUGUGUCUUCUCCUGCGUUGGAUAGUGGUCGCUGUCCUGUGUUCUGAAACACACCAGUGCGCUGUUGAAUUGGCGCCUUUUCCUAGACCAUUUUGCUAUGUGCAUAAUAGCUAAGUUAACCAGCAUAUUGGUGUUGAGAACAAUGCGGCGGAGGCAGCAGCGGAGUUAGGAGAAGAGGAAACAGCCCUUGCCUUAUUGUCUGAGAAAAGUGAGGAGAGAGGAAACCCCAAAUUAAUUAGGUCUAUAAUCAAUAGCAUAACUGUUAAAUGUGUCUGGCUUUAUAAAUCAUCCAUGUAUAGCUACAGAAAUAAGACAAAUCCUGCUUUUGUUGCCUGUUUGAGUGUUUGUUGUUUAUCUUUGCUUUGCUGUAAUAAAGGCUUUACACUUUUUUUCAUUUGA